rnacentral:rRNA from 1 species
GACGAACGCUGGCGGCGUGCUUAACACAUGCAAGUCGAACGGAAGGGCCCUGCUUUUGUGGGGUGCUCGAGUGGCGAACGGGUGAGUAACACGUGAGUAACCUGCCCUUGACUUUGGGAUAACUUCAGGAAACUGGGGCUAAUACCGGAUAGGAGCUCCUGCUGCAUGGUGGGGGUUGGAAAGUUUCGGCGGUUGGGGAUGGACUCGCGGCUUAUCAGCUUGUUGGUGGGGUAGUGGCUUACCAAGGCUUUGACGGGUAGCCGGCCUGAGAGGGUGACCGGCCACAUUGGGACUGAGAUACGGCCCAGACUCAUACGGGAGGCAGCAGUGGGGAAUAUUGCACAAUGGGCGGAAGCCUGAUGCAGCAACGCCGCGUGCGGGAUGACGGCCUUCGGGUUGUAAACCGCUUUCGCCUGUGACGAAGCGUGAGUGACGGUAAUGGGUAAAGAAGCACCGGCUAACUACGUG